rnacentral:rRNA from 1 species
AGUGAACGCUGGCGGUAGGCCUAACACAUGCAAGUCGAACGGCAGCACAGUAAGAGCUUGCUCUUACGGGUGGCGAGUGGCGGACGGGUGAGGAAUACAUCGGAAUCUACUUUUUCGUGGGGGAUAACGUAGGGAAACUUACGCUAAUACCGCAUACGACCUACGGGUGAAAGCAGUGGAUCUUCGGACCUUGCGCGAUUGAAUGAGCCGAUGUCGGAUUAGCUAGUUGGCGGGGUAAAGGCCCACCAAGGCGACGAUCCGUAGCUGGUCUGAGAGGAUGAUCAGCCACACUGGAACUGAGACACUGUCCAGACUCCUACGGGAGGCAGCAGUGGGGAAUAUUGGACAAUGGGCGCAAGCCUGAUCCAGCCAUACCGCGUGGGUGAAGAAGGCCUUCGGGUUGUAAAGCCCUUUUGUUGGGAAAGAAAAGCAGCAGGUUAAUACCCCGCUGUUCUGACGGUACCCAAAGAAUAAGCACCGGCUAACUUCGUG